rnacentral:tRNA from 1 species
UGGUCGGGGCGAGAGGAUUUGAACCUCCGACCUCCUGCUCCCAAGGCAGGCGCGCUAGCCAAACUGCGCUACGCCCCG